GUUGAAGGAUAGACACGUUUAUGAAUACGCCAAAACCAGCUUAGCUGAGUACGCCCAAGUGCGAAUAAUGGAAGAUGGUAGAAUGCAUACAUACGCAGGACUUGUCAUGAAGGUGAAAACGGGAUAGAGAAGUAUAACGAACUGCGCUUUUUUAGAGCUUGAUUAGCAGUCAGAAGCAUUAGGUACGACGGCUAAGAAAUGUCAAAACGACAAUUCCAUCGUAAUAUUUGUCAGCAAAAAAAAGUUUAUCUUCUAUAAACCGGCAUAAUGCAUUUUUUUGCGUUUGACUUUUUAGCUUAUUUAGAGAAUUCACCUGAGGGGCAUUUUCCAUACCUCUCGUUGUCUCAAAUUAACAAAAAACUAUGCAUUACAGUAUUCU